rnacentral:rRNA from 1 species
UACGAAGGGGGCUAGCGUUGCUCGGAAUCACUGGGCGUAAAGGGUGCGUAGGCGGGUUUUUAAGUCAGAGGUGAAAUCCUGGAGCUCAACUCCAGAACUGCCUUUGAUACUGAAAGUCUUGAGUAUGGGAGAGGUGAGUGGAACUGCGAGUGUAGAGGUGAAAUUCGUAGAUAUCGGAAGGAACACCAGUGGCGAAGGCGGCUUCCUGGGCUAAUACUGACACUGAGGUGCGAAAGCGUGGGGAGCAAACAGG